AACGCACCUUGCGCUCCUUGGUAUUCCGAGGAGCAUGCCUGUUUGAGUGUCAUUAAAUUCUCAACCUCACCAAUUUUGUUAUGAAGUUGUGUGUAGGCUUGGAUGUGGGGGUUGCAGGUCCACUCUCGUGGUCUGCUCCUCUGAAAUGUAUUAGUGGGUUUGGCCCCUAAUCUAUUGGUGUGAUAAUUAUCUACGCCGUGGAUUGGAAGGCUGUUACGACCUGCUUCUAACCGUCCUUCACCGGACAACUCUUGACAUUUUUGACCUCAAAUCAGGUAAGACUACCCGCUGAACUUAA
rnacentral:misc_RNA from 2 species